GACGAACGCUGGCGGCGUGCUUAACACAUGCAAGUCGAACGGAAAGGCCCUGCUUUUGUGGGGUGCUCGAGUGGCGAACGGGUGAGUAACACGUGAGUAACCUGCCCUUGACUUUGGGAUAACUUCAGGAAACUGGGGCUAAUACCGGAUAGGAGCUCCUGCUGCAUGGUGGGGGUUGGAAAGUUUCGGCGGUUGGGGAUGGACUCGCGGCUUAUCAGCUUGUUGGUGGGGUAGUGGCUUACCAAGGCUUUGACGGGUAGCCGGCCUGAGAGGGUGACCGGCCAAAUUGGGAAUGGGGUUACGGCCCGGACUCUUAGGGAGGGCGGAGGUGGGGAUAAUUGAACAAGGGGCGAAGGCCUAAGGCGGCAAGGCGGCGUGCGGGUUGAGGGCCUUCGGUUGGUAACCGGCUUCGCCUGUGACGAAGCGUGAGUGACGGUAAUGGGUAAAGAAGCACCGGCUAACUACGUG
rnacentral:rRNA from 1 species